CGUCCGUCGUGCACAGCGCCAUCGCAAUUCCACUGUCAAUAGGCCUAACUAUCUUGUUGAAGGUUGCAAAAGUAGAAUUACAAAUCUUUUGGACAUGUGGUAUGAAAUAUUGCCAUGUGUUGGUAUUAUGGUGGGUGCAAUGACCCUUCCGAAUAUGUUUUCAUAUGUAGCGCAGAAAGUAUUUCGCAAUGGCAAGCACUGUUGUCGUGAUUGGGAGGCUGGUUUGGGUGAAGAUCAAAAGGGUUAUAAGAGAGAUCGAUACAUAACUGGCAGUGAAUACAGACCUAGGGGAUUGGAAUCCAUACCAGAUUUAAAGUGUUAAGCAGUGUUUUAAAAAAAAGAUCUUUGAACUAUAGGACAAGUAUAUUAAGUUCUGCUUUCAAGACCAUUUGUGAAAUGGACAAAAUUCUUUAUGUGGAAAUGUUUAUUUAUAUUAGGAAAUAAAAUAUGCAUAUAUCUUGAUAAAAAGAA